AGCAGCCGCGGUAAUUCCAGCUCCAAUAGCGUAUAUUAAAGUUGUUGCAGUUAAAAAGCUCGUAGUUGAAUUUCGGGAUCAAUUAAUUGGUCGUGCCUCUGGUACGUACUGAUUUUAUUGGUUUCUCCCUUCUGACGAACCAUGAUGUCAUUAAUUUGGUGUCGUGGAGAAUCAGGACUGUUACUUUGAAAAAAUUAGAGUGUUUAAAGCAAGCUAACGCUUGAAUACAUUAGCAUGGAAUAAUGAAAUAGGACGUUUGAUCCUAUUUUGUUGGUUUCUAGGAUCGACGUAAUGAUUAAUAGGGAUAGUUGGGGGCAUUAGUAUUCAAUUGUCAGAGGUGAAAUUCUUGGAUUUAUUGAAGACUAACUACUGCGAAAGCAUUUGCCAAGGAUGUUUUCAUUAAUCAAGAACGAAAGUUAGGGGAUCGAAGACGAUCAGAUACCGUCGUAGUCUUAACCAUAAACUAUGCCGACUAGGGAUCGGAUGAUGUUAAUUUU
rnacentral:rRNA from 1 species